GCGACACUAGCUCAGUUGGUAGAGCGCAACCUUGCCAAGGUUGAGGUCACGAGUUCGAACCUCGUGUUUCGCUCCA
rnacentral:tRNA from 1 species